ACCAAGCCAGAGAAACUUUGUCAGUCUGACCUGAGCCUGUGCUGAUCUUGUUUGUUUUUCUCUGCUUCCUGCUAGAAAAACCUGUGAGGUGUGGGCUAUUACCUUCCUACCUGGACUCGGACAUCCUGCACCCUCUACUACUGUUUGUGAUUUUGGAUUAUACAUCUCAAGAUUGUGGUUCGGUUCCUAACCUUCCUAACUCCAGCCUCUGUGAGAACUCUGGGCUGCUCUGGACUGUAUCAUUGGACAAGCAUUCUGGAUUGCCUGACUCCCAAGCCCAGUGGUAUGAUUCCCCUGUGUAUCUCUGCUCAGUGAUCAAAUGGACCUGAAGAACCUGCCAACCAUUGUUUCUGUUGGAACUCUACCUUGUAUUUGUAAAUAAACCUUUGAACCUUG